CCCUGACCUCGGUUCGAGUGUGAUUACCCGCUGAACUUAAGCAA
rnacentral:rRNA from 1 species